GGAGCGCUCCCCUCUCGCCGCUUGCCUCGCCCAGCGCAGCCCCGGCCGCUGGGCGCACCCGUCCCGUUCGUCCCCGGACGUUGCUCUCUACCCCGGGAACGUCGAGACUGGAGCGCCCGAACUGAGCCACCUUCGCGGACCCCGAGAGCGGCGGCGCGACUCACCGCGGAGGCGCCCGGACGCGUCAAUGUCCCCCAGGGCAAGGCCUGAACCAGGUCGCGAGGGUCUGUCUCCCGUCUGGGGAGCUGAACUGCCCGAGACACUGUCGCAGUCGCGGGGACUUGUCUGGAGCGGCGGGGUCUGAGCCCAAGUCGGAAGCCGCCGCCGCCGCCAGCGUCCCGUGCGCCUGCCGCCCCGGGACCAGCCGCGAAACUUCUUCUCGGGACGGAGACAGCGCUCGCCGCCCGGGCCGAGGCCCAGCCCAAUAGGAAGCACCUGAUCCACACUCUUUCUAGCCCCAGGGAUGCUCAGGAAAGCAGCCUUUCUUUAGGGCUGUCAUCUGUUCUGGGGAUCUGUUGCUGUUUCUUGGGCCCACAGAAUACACUCCACACCUCGGGACUCCAUAAUAUUGGACAAGGCUGGAAGGCCCAUUUGGCUCCUGCAGCCUCUUAUGCAGGAGGACCUCCUGAGGCUUCGGGCAGGAGCUGGUGCACACCUGGAGGAGAGUGCUGGUGAAUGGCAGCUCCCGGGAGAUGGCUGAACCCCACUCCCCACCCGCUAGUCAUCCUCUUCAGCGGUCCUCCCAGAGCUGUCCUCAGCAUGGCAGCCUCCACAGCCCCUGGGUGUCACCCCCGGUUUCGUGUCUGCCUCGGACUCCAGACCUGCCCCUCCCAGGCUGGCCCAGAUGGAUCCUCUACAGUGACUAACCCAAACCAGCACCAGGCAGGGACCCAAUAAACCUUUGUGAAUGGA
rnacentral:lncRNA from 1 species